GACGAACGCUGGCGGCGUGCUUAACACAUGCAAGUCGAACGGAAAGGCCCUGCUUUUGUGGGGUGCGCGAGUGGCGAACGGGUGAGUAACACGUGAGUAACCUGCCCUUGACUUUGGGAUAACUUCAGGAAACUGGGGCUAAUACCGGAUAUGAGCUCCUGCUGCAUGGUGGGGGUUGGAAAGUUUCGGCGGUUGGGGAUGGACUCGCGGCUUAUCAGCUUGUUGGUGGGGUAGUGGCUUACCAAGGCUUUGACGGGUAGCCGGCCUGAGAGGGUGACCGGCCACAUUGGGACUGAGAUACGGCCCAGACUCCUACGGGAGGCAGCAGUGGGGAAUAUUGCACAAUGGGCGGAAGCCUGAUGCAGCAACGCCGCGUGCGGGAUGACGGCCUUCGGGUUGUAAACCGCUUUCGCCUGUGACGAAGCGUGAGUGACGGUAAUGGGUAAAGAAGCACCGGCUAACUACGUG
rnacentral:rRNA from 1 species